GAGUCGGGAACAACGGCGCCUCGGAGCAGCAUCCCUGCAACCACGAUCCUGAUGGGUGUUGGGAAGAGAAAAUGUGCUUUUCCGAAAAAACCUAAAAAUCGUGGCUCUUGUUAUUCUGUUCCCUGUAGUGGAUCAACUGAAGCUCAGUUGGGUGAGUGUUCAAAGGCUUUGAGGCUUCUGAAGCCCGACCUAUGAGUCACGGCUGCCCUUGGAGGUGCCCUCAGUCUGCCCUAAGCGCGAGGCCCUGCUCACCUGUCAUAGGCACAGUGCGUGGGUGUAGCUGUGGUGUCAGCGCUGUCGGGGAUCAGCCACUGGAAGGUGGGGCUUGUCCACAGGCGGAUGGAUGACCACUGGGAGGGUCUCACAUAGCUGCAGCCCGCAUUGAAGUCGCCCAUCAACAUGACGUCCUACCAGGAAACGCUGCCUGUGGCCCUGGGACAUGCGGAGGCCGCUGGUGCCCACUGCCCCUGGGAGGGCCUCACCUCCAAGCCCCAUUUCUCUUGGACAUCCAGGUAGACGUCAUAGAGAGCGUCGAUCUCGGCUACUGCGUCCCCCGGGGCCGCAUGCAGGGGAACAAUGGCAAACUCCCUGACCUCUGUGGAGACAGCCACGUCGUGUGAGGCACACUCCCUGGGGGCAGGUUCAGUCACCAUGUCAGCUGGAACUAUGUAUCAUGACAGUCCCCCCGGGGGGUGGAUAUUUUCCAAAUGACUUGAAUGGAAAACCCAAGCCCCAGGGACUGGGAGGGCAGUGUGUGACACAGGCAUUCCAGGUUCCCUAGGAGGGGGUGGAGGCCAUAAGCGCCAAGCCGAGCCCCACCCUGGCCCAGGCAGCACCCACCUGUGAACCGGGAGAAGAACCUGACAAUGGCUGGCUCUCGGUUGAAGGUGUCGUUCCCGCAGGGCUCGCAGCCAUCAUCGUAGUAGUAGCUGUCCACCGCAGACACCUGGUCAGGCCUGCGGGAAGGCCGGGCAGGAGGAGGUGACCCCAGGCUGGAAGCUGCCCCACUCCUGCUUCCCAGGAGGCAGGCGUCGCGUCCCAGGCGACAGGAGGGCGGGGGAGCCAGGCACCUGCUCAACCCAUUGGUCCGGGACCCAGGCGACAGGAGGGCGGGGGAGCCAGGCACCUGCUCAACCCAUUGGUCCGGGACCCAGGCGACAGGAGGGCGGGGGAGCCAGGCACCUGCUCAACCCAUUGGUCCGGGACCCAGGCGACAGGAGGGCGGGGGAGCCAGGCACCUGCUCAACCCAUUGGUCCGGGACCUUGGGGUGUUUUCACUCCACCCUGGACCCUGCUCUGAAGCCUCAGGUUCUUGCCAUAGGACAAACUAAUAGGACAAACUACUUCCCUGCUCUGUUGGGGCCCUCCCAGGUGAGGGAGGGGCUUCCUGGCUUUCUAGACCACCCACCUGUACACGAACAGGUAGCGCUCCUUAUAGCUGUUCCGUCCCAGUGGCUCACUGACCACGUAGUGAUAGGUGUCUGGUGCAUCCCUGGAUUGAAGAAACAAAAGGUCCCAGUGGCGGGGGCCAUAGGGGACCCCUCUGGCUGCCGAUAGCGAGGCUGUGCCCAGGUCCCCACCCUUGGGGCCCAAGUGAAGUGAGGCUGUGCCGUGGACGAGAUGUCACCUUCCUAUGACCCUGCCACUGUCACCCACUGAUUGAGGUUGUCCAGCAGCUUCCCCACGGCAGUCAGGUGGCUGUCUCUGACCUCCUGGACCAGGGCGAUGUCAUAGCGGCUCAGGAUCUGGGGGCAGGGCCACAGUGGUGCUGAGCAGGGCUGGUGCCACCCAGGGACCCUACAGCGCCACAAAGGGAGCCACAGCUGAUGCUCGUGGCAUUGCUCGGUUUAACCGCAGCCUCAUGUUUCUGCCUGGGCUCCUGCUGCCAGCCAGGGACAGCACAGCAGGGAUGAGGACCUUGGUCCACAGCCAAGAGCCUGUUCCACCGUGCUGGGAGCAGUGGUGCUCAGUACCCCACACCCGACACCCUGUGGCUCCAUAGGGCUGGCCCUGCCCACCAGCCCUAGACUCCAGAGCUCCUCUGCUUUUGGGGGGAGGCUGCCCUGGCCUCACCUGCACAAUGUAGCUGACGAGGGUGGCAUUGGACAUCUUGGUCUCCCCAAAUGUCUGGAUGUUGAAGGCUGCGAUCUUCAGGGACACGGCCCCCUGCAGUAGGGCCGCCAGUGCCAGCAGCGCCCCCAGCAGCUUCAUGCCCCUCAUCCUGGGAGAGCACAGGGCACAGAGACAUAACAGAAGUGAGACGUCAUCCCUGCCACAGCACUCCAGCCUUCUGGAGCCCAGCUGGCAGGGGCUGGUGGAGCUCAAGGUCAGGGGGACGCAGGCGGGGGAAACCCUUUCCUACAACGUCCAGAAAGCCAAACAGCUGGCACCACGUAGAGGACCCCGAGUCACUCCUCCAUCCACCAGAAAACCCGCCCGGGAGGGACGCUGGAGCCUCCGCCUCACUCGCUGCUGGAGGAUGAGACUCUAAGCCUCCCUCCCUGCUCCAAACCGGCCAGUCACCCAGAGGCACUCCACCUGGUGCUCACCUGAGAUGAUGGUGAUGUCCUCAGAGAUGACGAGAAUGCUGUCAAGAAUCUGGAAUAUCCUUUGAUGACAAUUUUCUCCUUUUGCUGCUUAAAGAAAAAAAAGUAGUCUAUGAAGAAAGGUCUCUGAAGAAGCACUUCAAGGCCCUGGCAGUGCUGCUGGGCUCCGGAUCCUGCACAGGCAGUGCGUGUCUGGGAGUUUUAAAAGUUCAGGCAGCUGUGACCUUCCCUGGGGCAAAUGUGAGCCGUCACCUGAGAGUGCAGAAAACAAUGGCUCUGUGUGGCUUUCCGCAUAGGUGGGUUGCUAGCACGUGUUUCUUUCUGUAAGCACAGGUUUCUUGCUGCUGUAAAAACUGCACCUGAUAAUCACGUUUGCACUUAGUUUUAAAAUGUCUGAUAACAAGGCCAAAGGUUCCUAUCCCGUGUCCCUUGCACGUGUGGUGGCCCCCAUCUUCCAGGAUAGGGCAGGGAUGGGCCAGGUAUGUGCGGGAGGGUGGGGCUGGGCUCCAGUCUCCCUGUCUCUUGUCUGGGGGCCCCAAGGUCACUUUGGACAAAGAGGCCAAAGCCACAUCCAAAGUUGCAAAUGGAGCCCCCUGGUGGCUGACAGCCAUGACUGCUCUGUGGCCCAGGACACGCCUGCCUUCCUGAUUCAUCGCCAUCAGGUGCAGGCAACUCUGCAGGAGGCUGGGGAGCUCGGAACAAGCAGUGGUGGGGGCCUGCAGCACCAGCGCCGUGGGGCCAGGACAGGUGGGGCCUGCAAAGCCCACCCCAAUUGCCAGCCAAGCAGUGGGGAGCCUUCUUGAGGUAGACAAUAGGCUGUGUGUUUAGGCCCAGGGGAUCCCGAGUGACCAGGUCACAAGGGCAGGGCAGCAGCUAAAGGCCAGGCCUCAGGUCCAGUAAUUUCUUGGUUCUUUUGUUUUGGGUUUUUAUUGUUUUUGAGACAGGGUCUCACACUGUGUUGCCAAGGCUGGAGUGCAGUGGCACAAUCAUGGCUCAUUAUAGCCUCAACCGCCAGGGCUCAGAUAAUCCUCCCUCCUCAGCCUCCUGAGUAGCUAAGACUAUGGGUACGGCACCAUGCCUGGCUAAUUUUUAAAUUUUUUUGGUAGAGAUGGGGUCUUGCUCUUUUGUCCAGACUGGUCUUGAACUCCUGGCUUCAGGCAAUCCUCCGGCGUAGCCAGGACCACAGGUGCAUGCUACCAUGCUCAGUUUUUUUUUUUUUUUUUUUUUUUUUUUUUUUUUUUGAGGCGGAAUCUUGCUCUGCUGCCCAGCCUGGAGUGCAGUAAUACUAUCUCGGCUCACUGCAACCUCUGCUUCCUGGGUUCAAGCAAUUCUUCUGCCUCAGCCUCCCGAGUAGCUGGGAUUACAGGCACGCACCACCACACCCGGCUAAUUUUUGUAUUUUUAGUAGAGACAGGGUUUCACCAUGUUGGUCACACUGGUCUCAAACUCGUGACCUUGUGAUCCGCCUGCCUCGGCCUCCCAAAGUGCUGGGAUUACAGGCGUGAGCCAUCGCACCCAGCCUAUUUUUUAAGUUUCUCACAGACACAAGGUCUCCAAGUCCUGAGCCCAAGCAAUCUUCCCGCAAAUGCUGGGAUUACAAGUGUGAGCCACCGCACCCCGCCACUCAUUUCUUGGAAUCUUUGACUUUCCAUUCGUAUUCAUUUCCUGAGACUGGUGAAACUACCACAAGUUUGGUUGCUUAAAAUAACAGAAAUGGAUCCUCUCAAAAUUCCGGAGACUGGACGUCUGAAGUCAGGGAGUCAGUAGGACCUUGCGCCUCCUGGAGGCUCCGGGCGGUUGGGGGAUGCUCCUUGCCCUCCAGUUUCUGCAGGCUGCCAGCAAUCCUUGGCUUUCCUUAGUUGUGGCUGCAUCACCCCAGUCUCUGCCUCUUCUUCUUAAGAUCUGUGCACCUGCAUUUGGGGUCCUCCCAGAGAGCAGGGAGGAUGUCCUUAUCUCAACAGCCUUUACUCACAUCUGCAAGUCCUUUUUUGCUACAAAAAUCAACAUUCAGAGGUUCCAGGGCUAGGGCACAGCUAUCUUUUGAGCCACCCCUGGGUCUUGCCCACUUGGAAGGGGCUGUGCUGGCCCUCCAAGGACAGCCCUGCACGUAGCAUCUGUGGUCCCCCUGGGGGAGGAGGGCCUGGAAGGCUUGGCAGAAGUCCAGGCGGGAUUCAGGUAUGAGAACUGCAGGAAAUGAAUACAAAUGGGGUCUGCAGGAGGCCUCAACGGCAAGAGUCAGCAGGGGCCAAGGUCGAAAGUCAGGAAAGUGCUCGGUCUGGCCAGCUGGCCAUGAAGCAGAAGGCAGGCCCAGUGGGGACUAGAAACAGGAAGGUAAACCACCCUCCACAAGACUGGCACCCCAUUCCAUAAAGACACGCCAACAGACGCCUCUGGCUGGCAGCACUGGUGCACUCAUCUGUCCCUCCUAUUGAGACGGCGUCUACCAGAUGGAAACACCACCACUCCUCAGGCUGCCAGAGGCCCCAUUGCAGGCUUUUCCAAAGGUUUCAGCAAUGGUUCUUCCCUGUUUUUAAUCUCUAAGUCUAGGACAGCCUCCAGCACGUCAAAACCCAGCCCCCAAGCAAGGCCACCGGAGUAUUCGGUGUAGGGACUAGUCCUCUGCCUUUGGUGUUUGCCUUUCCUGGACACACAUCUGACAGCGACCCAUCACGGGGAAGGGAGUAAAGCUAGAGGGCGGCCACUGUCCUCCACCAAGAAACUGCCUGGUGCAGCUUCCGGCGGGGCACAGGGACACCAAUUAUAGCUCACAGAGCAAGUGCCCAACCCCCUACGUGUGCUCAGCACGUGGGACGAGGGUUCCCCUCUGGUCUGUCAUCCCCUCCUGGCUCUUGACCAAAUGCUGCCCCAUCUGCUUUCAGGAACUCCCAGGCAUAGUGCCCCUGCUUCCUCUACCUGCCAGAAGGAAGGCUGGAACUUGGGCCUCGCUUGUACAAAUGGCGAGUGCUGCCUGCUGUGUGGCUGCCCUCAGGACGGGCUUUGGUGAGGGCAGCACAGCCCUGGAGGAGCCUGGUCUGACAUGGGGCCCGUCUGGGAUCACUGUUGGGCCUUCAACCGUCUGGAGCCUCUAUGUCUUCCUCUGAUAGAUUCCCAGAACAAUCAUUUCACCUUCUAAGAAGCCAUCCUGCCCCUGCAGCCUGUGGCUUGUGGAGUCUCCAGCACUCUCACUUCUCCCUCGUGGAUCUCUUUUCUGUCUGUGUCAGUCAAUGCUGCCAUGUAACAGCCACCUGCAAACUCAGUGUAUACACAUGCAUUUCUCUCACACUGCCAGGUCUGCUGGGGUGGCUCUGCUGCCUGGGCCUCGUCCUGGGGCUGGGCUGGAGAGACUGCAGCUCCCUGGGCACCCUCUUCCCACAGUGUGGAAGGUGGAGGCUCCCAGGGCACAAGCAGAACACGUGCCGCCCUAAGGCCAAGGCGGAGCUGGCUGCUGUCGCUUCUGCCCACAUUCCAUGGGUGCUGUCGAGCUGUAGGUCCAAGCCCCACAUCAGGGGAGUGAGUGGGGUACAAUCCUCCCAUGCUGGGCCCCACUCUGGAGAUAGGCCUGGGGAAUGCCCAAGAAGGAAGCCCAGCCCUUCUGGGAUUUUCACAUCCACAGAGAAUGGGUGCUGGCAGCCAACGGCAACGAGGAGAAAAGCUGACCGCCUUCUCAGAUCAGGAUGAGGUGUUUUUACACCAACCCCGAGGAUCUGCAGCCUUCUCAGGUUAAAUUAAACCUGUCACAGACACAGGAAGGGAAAAGAGCACAUAACAACAAUUAUAUUGACAUCUAAGCCAGGUCACAUGCUCUGAUUUGGCUGAAAUUACAGGAUAAAGGAAAAAUCCUAUAGGCACCAUGGCUGGAAACAAAUGGCCUCAAAGGAACGCUGGUGGCCGUGGCUUUGUGCAACGACAGCCAGUGUUGUGUGACCCAGCGACGUGCAGGCCAGGGAGGGUACCCUUCUACUGAUCAAGAGGGAAAGCGGGAAGGACGCACAGCUGUGGUUUCCAACCUGCACGGAGGCACCCCCAUGAACUCACAGAGCACCAUCAGAUCCUUCUGAAUUUUGAAGGAAGCAAUGAUACUCUGCUCUGCUCAAGGCCAUUCAUGGUCUCAACAUUAACGUUACCUUGCUUUAUAGGGUAUCUUCCCUCUCUCUGCCAGGCUGGGUUGUGGCAGUCACUGAACAAGCAAUUACUGUGAAGGUCGACGUGGAAAAAUGAGGCAAUGAGGGUGGCGGUGUUCUACCAGAUUCCAAGUUGAAGAGGUGCUCGACAGGCACACACAUCCCAUGACUAAACAAAUAACAUGAACAUUUCUCUUUAUGUAUUACUUUUCUAGACAUCCACUAUAAGUUGCCAGGACACAAAUGCUUAUUAUUGGGGUUUACUUAUUUAAUAAAUGGAACUGUGGGGGA